rnacentral:rRNA from 1 species
UAGGUGACCUGCGGAAGGAUCAUUGUCGAAUCCUGCUAAUGCAUACCGCGAACACGUUAAACCACUUCGGGAUCCUGGGUCGGGGGAAACCCCAACCCAAGAUUUCCCCUCCCGCAGUGCGCUCGUCUCGGCGUGCGCGGUGCGGCUAACGAACCCCCGGCGCGGCACGCGCCAAGGAAAACUCAUAGAAGCAUCCGCCUCCUGUCGCCCCGUUCGCGGUGCGCGGUGGGAGGAGUGGAUGUCUCCUGAAUAACAUAACGACUCUCGGCAACGGAUAUCUCGGCUCUCGCAUCGAUGAAGAACGUAGCGAAAUGCGAUACUUGGUGUGAAUUGCAGAAUCCCGUGAACCAUCGAGUCUUUGAACGCAAGUUGCGCCCGAAGCCUUCGGGCUGAGGGCACGCCUGCCUGGGCGUCACGCAUCGCGUCGCCCCCAUUCGCUCAGCAAUGCUUGCGAUCGGGUGCCGGGGGCGGAUAUUGGCCCCCCGUGCGCAUCGCCGCGCGGCCGGCCUAAAUGCGAACCCGUGGCGACUCGCGCCACGACCAUUGGUGGUUGAACACUCAACUCUCGUGCUGUCGUGUCGGACUGAGCCGCACAUCGGGCAACGUGGUAGACCCAACGGCGCAAUUCCAUUGCGCCUCGACCGCGACCCCUUG